UCACAUCUAUACAUAUAAUAAAAUCGUAGAAAAGUGCUGUCUGUACAUUGAAAAUAAAAAUAAAAAAAUAGCAGGGGUUAUUGUUAUGUCGAUGUCGAACCCAAAAAUGUAAUUAACUUUUUUUUGUCUGUUUGUCUGUUUGUCUGUUUGUCUGUUUGUCUGUUUGUCUGUUUGUCUGUUUGUCUGUUUGUCUGUUCGUCUGUGCGCGCUAAUCUCAGAAACGGCUGAUCCGAGUUGGAUGCGGUUUUCACGAAUAUAUUGUGGGAUGCUUAAAUUUACAUUUAGUGUUUGUUUCAUGUCAAUCGGUUCAUAAAUAAAAAAGUUAUGUCAAAUUAAAGAAUCACGUCGAACAUUCUAUGCUUAUACCAUUAAUCUCCGCAACUAUUUGACGGAUUUGGUUGAAAUUUGGUACAGAUAUAGUUUAGAACCUUAGAAAGGACAUAGAUAUAUUUUUAUUUCAAAAAUCAAAAAAUAAAAAUAAGAAAUAAAUUAUUUAUAAAUAAUUCUAUGUCGAUCGUUACACGACUUCGGUUCAUGUUAUUGUUUUAAUUUAUCGAAAAAAAGUAAAUAAAUAGUAAAAAGGUAUGAAAAAAAUAAUAUCAAUAUAAUAAAACAUUUAGUACAAAGAAAAUGCUCUAACGGAGUAUAGAUAAUUCUAUGUCGAUCGUUACACGACUUCGGUUCAUGUUAUUGUUUUAAUUCAUCGAAAAAAAGUAAAUAAAUAGUAAAAAGGUAUGAAAAAAAUAAUAUCAAUAUAAUUAAACUUUUAGUACAAAGAAAAUGCCCGAACGGAGUAUAAAUAAAUAAUCCAAGUUGUCUUUAUCCUCGAUGGCGUUGGGAUCGAAAUAGAUCGCGCUAUGGUUUCGUUACAUUCAUUUGGUUGGGUAUCGGCCGAGCGCUUCGGUACUAUCGUAGAAAAAGUGUAUUAUCAGUCGUAUGAUUAUUUGUCUGUAGUGGUCCUGCUGUUUCGUAUAUUCUAAAUUGGUUUCGUUGUAUUUGUCAAUUAAUAAGUUUAUUUGUUGGGGUUUCCUGGUUUUUUGGUUAAACUAUUUAACGUAGGUUUAGUUUGAUAUCGAUUAUUAGUAGUUACUGUAGUUAGUUUUUUUAAUAAAAUUGUAAGUCUAAUUUUUUUUUAAUUAGAUUAGAUUUAAGUCGUUUCUUUUAAAUUAUUUAGUUUAAGCUUGGUUAUUAUAGCAUAGAGGAUAGGUUGUAAUAUAGUUUCUUUUUUAAUUGUUAUAAAUUCGUAAUUCGUAGCUUUCUUUAGUUUUAAGUUAGUUUAAGUCCGUUUUUAAACUAUUUUUUCAAUGCCCUAAGUGAGUAUACAUCUAUUAAAUUUAAACGCAGAGCUCAUUA